CCAACUCUGAUUUGGAUUUGAUUUUGGUUUGAGGACUUAGAAAAGGCGGCACGAAAAGCUAUAUUCAGCUGUUGAACCGCCAAAAGAACCAAUCACCGAUAUAAAUACGCAAUGGAAGAUUACAAUGUUUACAUUUCUUGAGUUCUCGAUGUAUAUUCCAGUCAUUCGAUCUCUCUGCGACUCUGUAUAGCGAAACUAACCUCUUCUUUUUUCUUUCUUUUUUUUUUUGUUUGUUUCAACUUCUUGUUGAAUUCUUGAGCAAGUAAUCAUGCCUAGUAACCAAUUUCCAGCAACUCCUCAAAGGACAGAUCAUGUUGAAGACAGAGAGUCGGUGAUAAUUGAUGGUGAUAAUGAUGAUGUUUUAGUUUAUGAUGAGGUUAGUUCGGGUUCUGUUAAUGGUUUUAGUGAUUUUAUUCACAAUGGAAUGGUGAAGGUUCAAGAAGGAAGCCAUGACUAUAAAACUAUCAAGGAAGUAUUUGUUGGUGGUAUGGGAACACAUGCUAAUCACACUAACAUUGUAGCUAUACACAAGAACGUGGUUUCUGAUCCUGCAAGGAAAGCUAGGUGGCUUAGUUUUCAGAUUUUUACAAGGGCGGUGGGUGAAAAGUCCGGUAAUAAUGGUAAUGUACAAUUUGCUUGGUAUGGUAGUUCAAGAGAGGAGCUUUGUCAAAUCAUUUCUCGUGGAUUUAAUCGGUGUAAUGAAGCUUCUACUGAUCAAUUACAUGGGAUUGGGAUUCAUCUGUCUCCUGCAGGUUUUCCUAUCGAUUGUAUAGGAUCAUCAGUUGUUGAUGCAAAUGGGUUAGGCCACAUGUUGUUAUGUCGUGUGAUAUUGGGGAAAAUGGAAGAGAUUCCUGCUGAUUCCAAGCAAUUUCAACCGAAUUCGACAGAGUUCGAUUCUGGUGUUGACAAUCUCCACAAACCUAGAAGAUACAUUAUAUGGAAUGCUUUCAUGAAUUCGCACAUCUUUCCUACUUACAUAAUAAGUUUUAAGGCCCCUAGCUUCAAUGGUAUAAAGAGAAAUCAAUUGAGAAAAUUAAGGCCCACCUCACCCUGGUUGAGCUUUCCUGUUUUGUUGCACUUAUUGUCAAAGUGUUUGGAGCCUUCUAAGAUGGCUUUGAUUAGCAAACACUAUGAUGACUUUAAAAAGAAUAAGAUUAGCAGGCUACUACUAAUCCAAAGAGUGAGGCAGAUAUCUGGAGACAGGCUGCUGGUUCAGAUAAUUGGUAGACACAGAAACAGGGUAUGAGUCAGUUCUUUAAAUCUUGGUGGUAUUCUUAACAAUGAGGUGUUUCUGCGCUGCUGUACUUUCAGUACAGGCUAUCAAGUAAUAUUGAUGCUUGUGAAUAGCGGAUCUUGCCGUGGCAACAAAAAUUGACAUUAUUAUUCAGCAGCUUGCGUGUGACAGCAGUUAAAGGCGGCGAUACAGCUAAUUCAAGAAACAUAUAGUGUAACAGAGAGGGAUAUACUACAUUUCUUUUAGAAUAUACAGCACUGCAAUUCUUACAAUUGCAAAUAGGAGAAUUUCAACUUCAAAAAAGAAAGGGAGAAAAGAGAAGAUGCUGUAAACUCUUUUACCAGCAAUUGUCAAUCAAAUAUUAAAUAGGAAUCAUUUACUUUUA